rnacentral:rRNA from 1 species
CGGACGGGUGAGUAAUGUCUGGGAAACUGCCUGAUGGAGGGGGGUAACUACUGGAAACGGUAGCUAAUACCGCAUAACGUCGCAAGACCAAAGAGGGGGACCUUCGGGCCUCUUGCCAUCGGAUGUGCCCAGAUGGGAUUAGCUAGUAGGUGGGGUAACGGCUCACCUAGGCGACGAUCCCUAGCUGGUCUGAGAGGAUGACCGGCCACACUGGAACUGAGACACGGUCCAG